rnacentral:rRNA from 1 species
CCAAUCUGCGGUGUGUACGAUACGCUUUCUUUGAGUCGAGUUGUUUGGGAAUACAGCUCAAAGUAGGUGGUAAAUUCCAUCUAAAGCUAAAUAUUGGUGCGAGACCGAUAGCGAACAAGUACCGUGAGGGAAAGAUGAAAAGAACUUUGAAAAGAGAGUUAAAGAGUACCUGAAACUGUUGAAAGGGAACCGUAUCGUUUCCAGUGUUGUAUCCUAUGCAUAUUUCAUUCGUGGAGUAAUUUACGGGUGCCCUGUGCAUGGGUGUGACGUCAGGGUCAGUUUGUAUGCUGCGGGAGAUGGUCAGUGAGGAGGUGCGUCACUUCGGUGAAAGUUAU